rnacentral:tRNA from 1 species
ACUUGUAUAGCUUAGUUGGUAAAGCAAGGAACUCUUAAUUCUGAGAGCCUGGGUUCGAGUCCCAGUACAAGUA